UACAGAGGUCUCAAGCGUUGUUCGGAUUCAUUGGGCGUAAAGGGUGCGUAGGCGGCGCGGUAAGUCGGGUGUGAAAUCUCGGAGCUUAACUCCGAAACUGCAUUCGAUACUGCCGUGCUUGAGGACUGGAGAGGAGACUGGAAUUCCUGGUGUAGCGGUGAAAUGCGCAGAUAUCAGGAAGAACACCCGUGGCGAAGGCGGUUCUCUGGGACGGUACUGACGCUGAGACGCGAAAGCGUGGGGAGCGAACAGG
rnacentral:rRNA from 1 species